UACGUAGGUGGCAAGCGUUAUCCGGAAUUAUUGGGCGUAAAGAGCGCGCAGGUGGUUAAUUAAGUCUGAUGUGAAAGCCCACGGCUUAACCGUGGAGGGUCAUUGGAAACUGGUUGACUUGAGUGCAGAAGAGGGAAGUGGAAUUCCAUGUGUAGCGGUGAAAUGCGUAGAGAUAUGGAGGAACACCAGUGGCGAAGGUGGCUUCCUGGUCUGCAACUGACACUGAGGCGCGAAAGCGUGGGGAGCAAACAGG
rnacentral:rRNA from 1 species